AUUCGUUUUUAUAUUAAAAAAAAAUCUGUUCUUAUUAGUUUAAUAUCCGAUACGUCCCCCAUCGGGGGACCACAUAUUAAACGGAUUUUUGGAACAGGGAGCUGGAUCAGGAGCUUGCUCCAUCCUCUCCACGCAUCGGCCCGGUAUUNNNNNN
rnacentral:snRNA from 1 species